UGGGGGGCAUCCAUCUUCUUGAGUUGCCGCAUCUACGUGGGUUGUCUGUUAGCCGAGAGGAGGAAAGAACUGAGCCCUAGCAUCUCCAACCUUCCCUGUUGUUGCCCUCUUCACCCGUGACCAACCACCAACCAUGAGUAGCAGCUUGCCUCAUUGUGGGCAUGAGCUAUCAACUGUAGCCACCGUCUCUCUAUUGCCUACUGUGAUUACUGGAUAUGAAGGGAGUUUGGUGUUUGGAUUGUUAGGUUAGCAAAGGAAGGAAGUGGUGGAUAAUGGUAGAUCACUGCCAUUGACCGUAAGCCACUUCCAGUGCCAUAUUGUUGCCGAGUUUGGGAGACUUUGAUUCAGGACGAGCAUCUCGACGUGGGAUUCGGUUAUCACGAUCGACAGAUUAAGGUUGAUGCUGUCCGGAGAGUUCGAGUCGCUAGUCCCUUGAAGAUCCAGAGUUAUUUGGUCUUUUGUUAUGUUUCUUAUUGCACUAUCUGGCUUGUAUUAGUUUACCUUAUGGAUUCUUAUUUGUCGAUGGAUUUGGAUUGGAUGUGUUU